CUGAUCGCGCUUUAGUACGCUCAGCCAAGUUACUGAACCUUCUUUCUGUCCGUGAAUUUCAACGAAGUAGGAAGUGCGCGACGGUUGUAAAUUUAAUAUAGCUAAAUUGGAGUCUAGGAGUAAAAUAAUGCAGUGUUCUGCAUACGGUGUUAAAAUAGUAAAAUUGUUGGGUUAGUGUUAAAAUAUGUACAGUUGUUGAUUGAAAUUAAUAUUUAGUUAAAAUUUCUAUUCUAAAACCACACAAUUUGUUAAAAGCUACUUAACUACUUAGCGAUAAGAAGGUUCCCAGUGGACCUUUAUAUCUUGGGGUUAGGACCACGUUCGCAUGCCAUUCUAUUUACAGCGAAUAUAACCCAAGAAGCUUCCUGACAUCGUCCUCUACCACUGCGAAUUAGAUUCAACUCGGACAGAAAAUUCACGGCUCUCAGGACGGUACAAAUACGAGAGCAUCGGCGCGUGGAAUUUGACCCAUCCCCAUGUGGUUAAUUUCACCUCAGCGAGGCUACAGCAACCCGCCUGCUGAACGUUUCGCAUCACCGUCGCUGUGAUUACACUAGGGAAACCCAACUUGAAUGAAGUCCCACUACGGUACGCCAAGAUUCAGCACGAGCAUCAAUCGCCACGAGCAGUUGACAUUCGUCCGGGAACCCUCUCCGGAGAGCAGCAUAGAACGCCAACAUAAAUCAAAGAAAAACUAAGUGACGUCCCUACAAUAAGAAAUGAUAGAUGUAGUAGAUAGGAAUAAACCCAUUAUCAUGUUAACAAAGUGCACCUGGAGUUAGUUACGGUAGAGUUGGUCAUUAUUGGCAACGUACAUUCCAAGUUUUGAUAUUCGGUUUCGAACUCUAAAGGAGUUAUCAGCCCUCGUCGUUGUUUGUCUGACAGAGUUUUGGUUCAGUGCAGGGCUUGUGAGCAACUUACAGUGAGAGUUUCCACUUUGCCCGCCUAAACUUGAGUUGCAACAUCGGUGCUGUGUUGGUUGAUCCCUCCCGCACAAUGAAUGAGUACCCUCUAGCGUAUAUGCGACUGCUACCAAUUCCUCCACCCAAUCAUAAUUUCACCACCCUGAGCAAGUCUAGGGGCUACACCGGUGCGAAACCGGGUAUCUAAAUAUAAUAUUAUUGUUUAGCGUAGUCAUAAUAGAUACGCAUUUAGUUACGCACUAGUGCGGAUAAUCUAAGGAGACAUAUAGGGGAACUGUGCCCAAGACAGACACGUCAAGGUUAACCCUUUAUAAGGCAGUGGCAACCACAUUGCCACCUUUUCGUUUCGUUCAUAACGCAGGAAUAUGA